UUACGCAGGGGGGAAGGCUCAAACUCAAAUUAAAGGAUUAAUCGGUGUUGAAAUUGCAUAGUCGGGGAAAUAAAUGCUGCACGUCAGACUUCUGGCCACAUUCCAAAUAGUGAGUUCAUGCACUAAACAGGCAAGAGGUGAUAAAACUACCUGCUGUUACAUCAGAGAGGCUGCACGGGAACAGAGGCGUGGUUGCACAACAAUGUUUCUUGUGCACGAGAGGCUUGUUUUUUUAAUUAAGUUUAGGUUGCAUGAAAUUGAAGAGCUGUACAACUCCGUCACGCACGCAUGCGCACGGUUUGAGGCGCUACGCGUCGUGUCUUUGAGGUGACGUGGGUCCGCGUGAGUCAUAUGGGCUCUCCUGAAUGUCGCACGUGUCUGGCUCACCACGAUCAUCCGCGCGAUGUCCUUGCAGUCCUCCACGUUGGCGGCGCGGAUUGAGAAGUCCAUGUUGUGUGGGUCUGGCGGUGAUGAAGAAGAAGAAGAAGACGAUGAUGAUGGUGGUGGUGGUGAUGAUGAUGAUGAUGAGAUGCGGACAACAUGUGCGGCGGUCCUCCGGUUGGUUCCUGUGGAUCCGGACGGAUGUGCGUAACGUGCGCAAAGGACUGUGGAGGUCACCGGCUACACGGAGAGCCGAGCUGAGAGCGCCCUCCCCCAGGAAGGAGGGGACUGUGCAUUUCCUCAGAAACCUACACGCUUCAAAACUAUGCGACCUCAAUUAGUAUAAUUAGUAUAAUUAUUAGAUUAGAUGUCGGUUCAGAUGCUUUGCAGCCUUUUCCAGAGGGAUUCAAACCAUCUGGUUAUUUGUUCUUCACAAUGGAGAUUAACUUUUCUAUAAAGAUUUUUUUUUUCUUCUAAAGCAUUAGUAAACCGUGGUAAAUACACGUAUACGUCAUAUUCAGUUAUUGUGGAUUCUUUACUGUGUUUUAUUUUUUUAUUUCUCUUGUACUUUACCCCCCUUGCUGCUGUACUCCUCUACAUUUACACACUGCGGGACUAGACUAAUAAAGGAAUAUCUUAUCUUA